GACGAACGCUGGCGGCGUGCUUAACACAUGCAAGUCGAACGGUGAAGCGCCUUCCUUUUUGGUGGGUGUGGAUGAGUGGCGAACGGGUGAGUAACACGUGAGUAACCUGCCCCCUUCUUCUGGAUAACCGCAUGAAAGUGUGGCUAAUACGGGAUAUUCUGGGUCUGUCGCAUGAUGGGUCUGGGAAAGAUAUUGUUUCGGUGGGGGAUGGGCUCGCGGCCUAUCAGCUUGUUGGUGGGGUGAUGGCCUACCAAGGCGGUGACGGGUAGCCGGCCUGAGAGGGUGGACGGUCACACUGGGACUGAGACACGGCCCAGACUCCUACGGGAGGCAGCAGUGGGGAAUAUUGCACAAUGGGCGCAAGCCUGAUGCAGCGACGCCGCGUGAGGGAUGGAGGCCGUCGGGUUGUGAACCUCUUUCGCCAGUGAAGCAGGCCUGCCUCGUUUGUGGGUGGGUUGACGGUAGCUGGAUAAGAAGCGCCGGCUAACUACGUG
rnacentral:rRNA from 1 species